UACGGGGGGGGUAAGCGUUGUUCGGAAUUACUGGGCGUAAAGCGUGCGCAGGCGGUUUUGUAAGUCUGUCGUGAAAGCCCCGGGCUUAACCUGGGAAUUGCGAUGGAGACUGCAAGGCUUGAAUCUGGCAGAGGGGGGUAGAAUUCCACGUGUAGCAGUGAAAUGCGUAGAGAUGUGGAGGAACACCGAUGGCGAAGGCAGCCCCCUGGGUCAAGAUUGACGCUCAUGCACGAAAGCGUGGGGAGCAAACAGG
rnacentral:rRNA from 1 species